rnacentral:lncRNA from 1 species
UUUUGUUGUAAAAGAUGUGAAAACAUGAAGAAUUAGAAAACAGAACAGCUAAAAUAAGUUAUAAUGAGUCACAUCUCAAAAAAAUACACUCAAGGGAAUAACAAUGUAAUGAUAACACAUUUUCAUUAUUCUAAAAACAAACUCUGUAAAACUUUUGUCAUCUUCCCCUAUAGGCAAUGUCUAUUCUACAGGCUGAAUCUAAAGAGGAUACCUCUUCAAAUAAGAAUUCUAGCUAGAUUGAAGUGCUUUACAGCUCGCCUUAGCUAUAAGGGAGAUGUAGAAAAAAAUGGGAAAUAUCAUUGGGAAUCUCAAUGUUUUAUUGACCCUCAGCAACAUAAUCACAUAUGAAAGCAUAGCUGCUGAGUAAUUCUUCCAGUUCAUCAGCAUCCUGGGGCUGCAAUAGUAUAGAUGAGAGGAGGAAUUAGGAAAAUAGCUAUUUAUUAUUGCAUGCCUUUAUAGGGGCUCCUUUAUGUGCUACAUUUAACCCACUGACUAACCCUUAAAGAUGAACAUUAGAAUCCCCAUUUCACACAAGUAAGAGGUAAAACAAUAAUAUAAUUUGCCCAAGGCUGAAAUAACCAGUUAAUGGCUGAUACCAAUUACUGGUCAUUACCGUUCACUGGUAGUAAUUUUAAAUGAAUAAUGUAUAUAAUCCAUUUAUUUCAUGUUUA